AACUUUCAACAACGGAUCUCUUGGUUCUCGCAUCGAUGAAGAACGCAGCGAAUUGCGAUAUGUAAUGUGAAUUGCAGAAUUCAGUGAAUCAUCGAAUCUUUGAACGCACCUUGCGCCCUUUGGUAUUCCGAAGGGCAUGCCUGUUUGAGUAUCAUUAAUACCUCACUCUUGAAUUCCUUGCGAAGUCAAGCAGUGGACUUUGGAGGUUUUGCAGGCCGUCACCGGUCAGCUCCUCUUAAAUGCAUUAGCGGAACUCUAUGCAGUACCAGCCUCGGUUUGAUAAUCCUAUCUAUGCUGUCGCUGUUGGACUGUGCUGUUUGGCUUACAACCGUCUUCGGACUGUCACUUCUGUGGCAUAACAUUAAACUUGAUCUCAAAUCAGGUAGGACUACCCGCUGAACUUAAGCAUAUCAAUAAGCGGAGGCU
rnacentral:misc_RNA from 1 species